AACGAACGCUGGCGGCAUGCCUAACACAUGCAAGUCGAACGAGACCUUCGGGUCUAGUUGCGCACGGGUGCGUAACGCGUGGGAACCUGCCCUUAGGUUCGGAAUAACUCCCCGAAAGGGGUGCUAAUACCGGAUAAUGUCUUCGGACCAAAGAUUUAUCGCCUUUGGAUGGGCCCGCGUUGGAUUAGCUAGUUGGUAGGGUAAAAGCCUACCAAGGCGACGAUCCAUAGCUGGUCUGAGAGGAUGAUCAGCCACACUGGGACUGAGACACGGCCCGGACUCUUACGGGAGGCAGCAGUGGGGAAUAUUGGACACUGGGCGAAAGCAUGAUGCAGCAAUGCCGCGUGAGUGAUGAAGGCCUUAGGGUUGUAAAGCUCUUUUACCCGGGAUGAUAAUGACAGUACCGGGAGAAUAAGCUCCGGCUAACUCCGUG
rnacentral:rRNA from 1 species